rnacentral:rRNA from 1 species
GCCGGCAGCUCGCUCUCUGCAACUCUCACAUGGUAGCCCACAUAAGAUAAGCAGAGCUGCACCCGGUGAGUACCUGGAUUGGAGACCACAUGGGAAAGCUAGGUUACUGCUGGAA